rnacentral:rRNA from 1 species
GGAUUCCCCUAGUAACUGCGAGUGAAGCGGGAAGAGCUCAAAUUUAAAAUCUGGCAGUCUUUGGCUGUCCGAGUUGUAUUCUAGAGAAGUGUUUUCCGCGCUAGACCGUGUACAAGUCUCUUGGAACAGAGCGUCAUAGAGGGUGAGAAUCCCGUCUUUGACACGGACUACUAGUGCUUUGUGAUGCGCUCUCAAAGAGUCGAGUUGUUUGGGAAUGCAGCUCAAAAUGGGUGGUAAAUUCCAUCUAAAGCUAAAUAUUGGCGAGAGACCGAUAGCGAACAAGUACCGUGAGGGAAAGAUGAAAAGCACUUUGGAAAGAGAGUUAAACAGUACGUGAAAUUGCUGAAAGGGAAACGCUUGAAGUCAGUCGCGUCUGUCAGAAAUCAGUCUUGCUUUUGCUUGAUGUAUUUUCUGACCGACGGGCCAGCAUCAGUUUGAGCUGUAGGAAAAAGAUGGGAGAAAUGUGGCACCCUCGGGUGUGUUAUAGUCUCUUAUUGUAUACUACAGUUGGGACUGAGGAACUCAGCACGCGCAAGCUGUGCUUAGGAUGCUGGCGUAAUGGCUUUAAACGACCCGUCUUGAAACACGGACCAAGGAGUCUAACAUACCUGCGAGUAUUUGGGUGGUAAACCCGAGUGCGCAAUGAAAGUGAAGUUGGGAUCUCUGUCGUGGAGAGCACCGACGCCCGGACCAGACCUUCUGUGACGGCUCUGCGGUAGAGCAUGUAUGUUGGGACCCGAAAGAUGGUGAACUAUGCCUGAUAGGGUGAAGCCAGAGGAACUCUGGUGGAGCUCGUAGCGAUUCUGACGUGCAAUCGAUCGUCAAAUUUGGGUAUA